rnacentral:rRNA from 1 species
GGCUCAGGAUGAACGCUGGCGGCGUGCUUAACACAUGCAAGUCGAACGAUGAAGCCAGCUUGCUGGUGGAUUAGUGGCGAACGGGUGAGUAACACGUGAGUAACCUGCCCUUAACUCUGGGAUAAGCCUGGGAAACUGGGUCUAAUACCGGAUAUGACUCCUCAUCGCAUGGUGGGGGGUGGAAAGCUUUUGUGGUUUUGGAUGGACUCGCGGCCUAUCAGCUUGUUGGUGAGGUAAUGGCUCACCAAGGCGACGACGGGUAGCCGGCCUGAGAGGGUGACCGGCCACACUGGGACUGAGACACGGCCCAGACUCCUACGGGAGGCAGCAGUGGGGAAUAUUGCACAAUGGGCGGAAGCCUGAUGCAGCGACGCCGCGUGAGGGAUGACGGCCUUCGGGUUGUAAACCUCUUUCAGUAGGGAAGAAGCGAAAGUGACGGUACCUGCAGAAGAAGCGCCGGCUAACUACGUGCCAGCAGCCGCGGUAAUACGUAGGGCGCAAGCGUUAUCCGGAAUUAUUGGGCGUAAAGAGCUCGUAGGCGGUUUGUCGCGUCUGCCGUGAAAGUCCGGGGCUCAACUCCGGAUCUGCGGUGGGUACGGGCAGACUAGAGUGAUGUAGGGGAGACUGGAAUUCCUGGUGUAGCGGUGAAAUGCGCAGAUAUCAGGAGGAACACCGAUGGCGAAGGCAGGUCUCUGGGCAUUAACUGACGCUGAGGAGCGAA